GGGUUAACGAUUGGAGAAUUUGUUUGAGGUUUCAAGAGGGAAGCAUUUGACAAUGAGGAGUUUGAGAUGAUGGUGGGGCACUCCCUCACCAUUUAAGAACUAAUGCGGAUGCAUUAUAAAGACUAUUCCAAUGUAAGUGGCUCCAAAAUGAAGAAGAAAGGAGGGAACCAAUUGAAGAGUAUCAAGAGUGUCACAAAUUUCAUUGUCAAGAAUAGGGAUCGGCAAAGCACGAUGAGAUAGACACCUCGUUGGAGAAGGCAUCCAAUAGUCAAUCUCUUCCAUCAACGACAACUAGAACAUGGAAUUUCAUAGAUCAAAGAGGGUGAUGUCACUUUAUAUGAACCAAGAUAUUCAAGCACAUAAUGUGUCUAUUUUGAGUAGUUUGGGUGGAAAGUAUUUAGCGAGUAAUUUGAGGAUUAAGUGAUUCAUGUAUGACGGGUGGUGAAAGAGAGAGAAAGGAGUAAUUGCCUUUAGAAAAAAGGAGGACUUAUUAUGUUAGGUCUACAAACAUCCUUGAGUUGGACUUACUAUGUUAAGUAUCCUAAUGUUUGUCAUAAUAAGUCAAUUUACUAUAUCAAGCUUAUCAAUACAUGUUAUACUAUGUUGACCUUAGUAUAUCUUUUUCAUCCACACUCAAUCUUUAUUUACAUUUUGUUUACUCAUUUCUUUAAUCUAAAUUCUUCUCUUUUAUAUUUUUUGUUCAUACUCAUAUCCUUCAUCCACAUUUGUUCCUUCAUAUAUACUCAUAUCCUUUAUUCAUUAUAAUGUAUUUUUUAUUUUUUUU
rnacentral:lncRNA from 1 species